rnacentral:tRNA from 2 species
AUUUAAGUAGCUCAAUGGUAGAGCAACGAUUUUCCAGUCGUCUGUUGUGGGUUCGAAUCCCAUCUUAAAAA